AGAGCUGGGUCAGAACUCGAGCCAGCGGCGCCCGGAGAGAUUCGGAGAUGCAGGCGGCUCGGAUGGCCGCGAGCUUGGGGCGGCAGCUGCUGAGGCUCGGGGGCGGAAGGUCUGUGUGUGACAAGAGGGACGGUGGGCAGCGGCCCUGGGCACCGGGCCGGGACUGAACCCCCACUCCCCACAGCUCGCGGCUCACGGCGCUCCUGGGGCAGCCCCGGCCCGGCCCUGCCCGGCGGCCCUAUGCCGGGGGUGCCGCUCAGCUGGCUCUGGACAAGUCAGAUUCCCACCCCUCUGACGCUCUGACCAGGAAAAAAUCGGCCAAGGCGGUAGGUAGCCCCGAGGCCAGGUGGACCUUAGCCAGACCCAACCAGAGCCCUGAAAUUCGCCUCUCUCUGCCCAGGAAUCUAAGUCCUUUGCUGUGGGAAUGUUCAAAGGCCAGCUCACCACAGAUCAGGUGUUCCCAUACCCGUCCGUGCUCAACGAAGAGCAGACACAGUUUCUUAAAGAGCUGGUGGAGCCUGUGUCCCGUUUCUUCGAGGAAGUGAACGAUCCUGCCAAGAAUGACGCUCUGGAGAUGGUGGAGGAGACCACUUUGCAGGGCCUCAAGGAGCUGGGGGCCUUUGGUCUGCAAGUGCCCAGUGAGCUGGGUGGUGUGGGCCUUUGCAACACCCAGGGGAGGCUGUGGCCGCUUUCUGUCUAACCGAGUCCUCAAGCGGGUCA
rnacentral:sRNA from 1 species